UACGUAGGCAGCAAGCGUUGUUCGGAGUUACUGGGCGUAAAGGGUGCGUAGGCGGCUUUUUAAGUUUGGAGUGACAGUUGGUGGCUUAACUGCCAAAGUGCUUCGAAAACUGACAGACUUGAGGGCUUCAGAGGGACACGGAAUUCCGGGUGGAGUGGUGAAAUGCGUAGAGAUCCGGAGGAACACCAAAGGCGAAGGCAGUGUCCUGGGGAGUACCUGACGCUCAGGUGCGAAAGCCAGGGGAGCGAACGGG
rnacentral:rRNA from 1 species